rnacentral:lncRNA from 1 species
UAAACUUCAUGAAGCAGCCCUCCAGUUUGUCACGAUCUCUCUGCAAGACCUUCCGCUCUUGAGGGAAUCAGGAGUGACUCCUAAUUUAGUGUGGUUUGCAAACAUAGUUACUUAGUAUGCAUUCAAGUCCUGCAUCCAGAUAAUUUAUAAAAACAUUAGAGAGAACUGGCCCUACCCUAGCUCAUGCAGUUCAAAGCUGGUAUCAGAAGCUUCUCAUGAGACAUUCCAGAAAAUCCCUUAGCUCUGAGAAGUUAGGAUAUAACAACCCUACUCUUGACUGCCUUUGAAUCUUCUCUAUGUUCUCUAUUUGAAUAAUACAAAAAGAAAUCAAACACAUCAUAGAACAUAUACAUAUUUAUACACAACUGAGCAAGCAAGGUCCAAUCAACAUCUAAGGCAUGGAGGAAGAACACUGUUCAAAUAUUAUUAUUUUUUUUUUUGUGUUCAAACCUGACCAUCUGUCCUCCCAGAACCCCGUUCACAGAGGUCUCAUCACACAAGUGGAGGUAGGAGGUUUCCUCUAUUAACUGCCUGAGACAGAUUCCUGCACCCAGAGCAGCACAAUCUCCAUUGCAGCCUUUGAGCAGGGCUGAGGAAGCCUUCAGUCCCCUCCUCUUCCUGCUCCCUGUACCCACACCCAAACCAGAAUACAACUCACUGUACUCAGGAGCACCUGGAGCACAUCUCUUUUGCACUUUUAUUAGCAGAGUAUCUGCAACAAGGUAUUGUCACUUGUGCAACUAAAAGGAACAAUUGCAUUUCUCCAAGAUAUGAGAUGCAGCCCCAGUCCUGCAGAUCAAUACACACAAGAAGAGUUGCAAAGCACAGAUACUGUCUGCUGUCCUCAACAGGCCUGUGUAUAGUUUGGGAGUCCACCUACACAAAGUUACUGGGUAGCAAUAUCUGCUGCAGCUGCUUCAAAGAUUUUUUGAAGAAUGGUAUUUUAAAUGAUUAUUAUUAAAAUUACAGAUACAUAUUUGUGUUGCUGAUAUUUCUAUUAUUAUUAUUAUUUUUUUUUUUUACUUACUGGUUAGAAAGGAGGGUGAAGAAAGUUUUAUUUAACACUUUUAUUGCCAAUUCUAAUCAAAUUAAUUUAAUAAACUCCCAGUUUUUAUGAAAUCCUAAUACA